AUUGAACGCUGGCGGCAGGCCUAACACAUGCAAGUCGAACGGUAACAGGAAGCAGCUUGCUGCUUCGCUGACGAGUGGCGGACGGGUGAGUAAUGUCUGGGAAACUGCCUGAUGGAGGGGGAUAACUACUGGAAACGGUAGCUAAUACCGCAUAACGUCGCAAGACCAAAGAGGGGGACCUUAGGGCCUCUUGCCAUCGGAUGUGCCCAGAUGGGAUUAGCUAGUAGGUGGGGUAACGGCUCACCUAGGCGACGAUCCCUAGCUGGUCUGAGAGGAUGACCAGCCACACUGGAACUGAGACACGGUCCAGACUCCUACGGGAGGCAGCAGUGGGGAAUAUUGCACAAUGGGCGCAAGCCUGAUGCAGCCAUGCCGCGUGUAUGAAGAAGGCCUUCGGGUUGUAAAGUACUCUCAGCGGGGAGGAAGGGAGUAAAGUUAAUACCUUUGCUCAUUGACGUUACCCGCAGAAGAAGCGCCGGCUAACUCCGUG
rnacentral:rRNA from 1 species